UACGGGGGGGGCAAGCGUUGUUCGGAAUUACUGGGCGUAAAGGGCUCGUAGGUGGCCAACUAAGUCGGACGUGAAAUCCCUCGGCUUAACCGGGGAACUGCGUCCGAUACUGGUUGGCUUGAGUUUGGGAGAGGGAUGCGGAAUUCCAGGUGUAGCGGUGAAAUGCGUAGAUAUUGGGAGGAACACCAGUGGCGAAGGCGGCUCACUGGACCGGAACUGACGCUGAGGCGCGAAAGCGUGGGGAGCAAACAGG
rnacentral:rRNA from 1 species